rnacentral:rRNA from 1 species
GACAGAGGUCCCGAGCGUUGUUCGGAUUCAUUGGGCGUAAAGGGUGUGUAGGAGGCCAGGUAAGUCAGGUGUGAAAUCUCAGAGCUUAACCCUGAGACUGCGCUUGAUACUGCUUGGCUAGAGGAUCGGAGGGGGUAACGGAAUUUAUGGUGUAGCAGUGAAAUGCGUAGAUAUCAUAAGGAACACCGGUGGCGAAGGCGGUUACCUGGAAGAUUCCUGACUCUGAAACACGAAAGCCAGGGGAGCAAACGGG